UACGUAGGGUGCAAGCGUUAAUCGGAAUUACUGGGCGUAAAGCGUGCGCAGGCGGUUUUGUAAGUUUGUCGUGAAAUCCCCGGGCUCAACCUGGGAAUGGCGAUGAAGACUGCAAGGCUAGAAUCUGGCAGAGGGGGGUAGAAUUCCACGUGUGAGCAGUGAAAUGCGUAGAGAUGUGGAGGAACACCGAUGGCGAAGGCAGCCCCCUGGGUCAAGAUUGACGCUCAUGC
rnacentral:rRNA from 1 species